rnacentral:rRNA from 1 species
AGUGAACGCUGGCGGUAGGCCUAACACAUGCAAGUCGAACGGCAGCACAGGAGAGCUUGCUCUCUGGGUGGCGAGUGGCGGACGGGUGAGGAAUACAUCGGAAUCUACUUUUUCGUGGGGGAUAACGUAGGGAAACUUACGCUAAUACCGCAUACGACCUACGGGUGAAAGCAGGGGAUCUUCGGACCUUGCGCGAUUGAAUGAGCCGAUGUCGGAUUAGCUAGUUGGCGGGGUAAAGGCCCACCAAGGCGACGAUCCGUAGCUGGUCUGAGAGGAUGAUCAGCCACGCUGGAACUGAGACACGGUCCAGACUCCUACGGGAGGCAGCAGUGGGGAAUAUUGGACAAUGGGCGCAAGCCUGAUCCAGCCAUACCGCGUGGGUGAAGAAGGCCUUCGGGUUGUAAAGCCCUUUUGUUGGGAAAGAAAUCCAGCGGGCUAAUACCCGGUUGGGAUGACGGUACCCAAAGAAUAAGCACCGGCUAACUUCGUGCCAGCCGCCGCCGUAA